rnacentral:rRNA from 1 species
GAUGAACGCUGGCGGCGUGCCUAAUACAUGCCAGUCGAGCGAACGGACGAGAAGCUUGCUUUUCUGAUGUUAGCGGCGGACGGGUGAGUAACACGUGGAUAACCUACCUAUAAGACUGGGAUAACUUCGGGAAACCGGAGCUAAUACCGGAUAAUAUUUUGAACCGCAUGGUUCAAAAGUGAAAGACGGUCUUGCUGUCACUUAUAGAUGGAUCCGCGCUGCAUUAGCUAGUUGGUAAGGUAACGGCUUACCAAGGCAACGAUGCAUAGCCGACCUGAGAGGGUGAUCGGCCACACUGGAACUGAGACACGGUCCAGACUCCUACGGGAGGCAGCAGUAGGGAAUCUUCCGCAGUGGGCGAAAGCCUGACGGAGCAACGCCGCGUGAGUGAUGAAGGUCUUCGGAUCGUAAAACUCUGUUAUUAGGGAAGAACAUAUGUGUAAGUAACUGUGCACAUCUUGACGGUACCUAAUCAGAAAGCCACGGCUAACUACGUG